AGAUUCGAUUUUGUUUGGUCAGGUCUUCAUUAGAUGGACGACUGUUCUUAUUUAGUGUCUCUGGUUUCCUCUUGUGCCUUUCAUUCAGGCUGGCUUUCACGGGAUUGGCAUUGGUGGCGCAGUCAAUACUACCUACAGAAGUGCCACCAACUUGCACCAAGCUAUUGCGUCAAGGCUCAGUCUUUUCGUGUGUUUCAUACGUCUUGAAAACACAUAGGUUGAUUCAUAUGAUUCUUCAGCGGUAGCAAGUUUGUCAUGUACAUUCCUUCCUAUAAGCAACUGAAGCGGCAGGCACCUCCAACCAACGCUUUCCCGGGUGAUCCCCGGCCACGAGCACGUCUAUCCCUACAAGCUGCUACCGGUGCUCCCUCUCCGCUGGAUGCGGCAAGGUCGUGGGAGUGUUCUGUAGCUCGGCGCUGCACCAUGGGCACCCGAUCGUCGCCCUCAUGGCCACUGCCGCAGACUUCGUGUCUGGCCUGCUUAUCCUCACUAUGUUCUGAAUGGGAGGCAGUGCAUGACUGGUGACCAGUGUCUAACUUUGAUAGUUGACGCUGAUGAUGUAUUCAAGCACUCCACCAUAUUCUUGGUGCAACACCACUGAGGACUUAGCGAAACUGCUUUUUAGCCAUUAACACCCAAGUCCUAGAUUUUGUUAAUGGCAUAAAUUUUGAUGGAUAGGAUUUUAAUGAGGUGCAGAGCAGUGUAGGUCCAGAUGACAGAGAUAAUUGUACGUAAAAUGUGUAGACAUAGUUUGACACUUUUGCUGAAACAUACUACUCCCUUUAGUAAAAAAAGAUGUCCUGAAUAAGCUCUAAUAUGGCAUCAUGAUUGUUACCAUUUGUUCCGGAGAACAAAGGGAAGUUCUAUAAAAUAAUUGACUGUUAUUUUUU